CAACAGGCCUGGCAAGGGAAACGCCAUUAUCCCGCAGGUGGUUUUCCCAGGUCAAAGCUCUUCCAUUGCACUGCGGAUGUGCUGAUCCCUGCAAUCUCCACAAAUGUGGGAAUCUUGACUGCAUAAUUUGUGGUAGUCGGGGACUGAGUUUGCACGAAUUGAA